rfam:Oikopleura dioica, whole genome shotgun assembly, reference scaffold set, scaffold scaffold_140
UAUCUGGUUGAUCCUGCCAGUAGUCAUAUGCUUGUCUCAAAGAUUAAGCCAUGCAUGUCUAAGUACGGCUCUAGUACGGUGAAACUGCGAAUGGCUCAUUAAAUCAGUUUUGGUUCAUUUGAUCGUGAAAGUUACAUGGAUAACUGUUGUAAUUCAAGAGCUAAUACACGCUAAGAGUGUCGCUCUCUGGGCGGCGCGCUUUUAUCAGACCAAAACCAAUCACCUUCGGGUGUUCAUUGUGGUGAGUCUGGAUAAACUAGCUGAUCGCAUGGUCUCGAACCGGCGAUGGAUCAUUCAAGUGUCUGACCUAUCAACUGUCGAUGGUAGCGUAUUGGGCUACCAUGGUUGUAACGGGUAACGGAGAAUUAGGGUUUGGUUCCGGAGAGGGAGUCUGAGAAACGGCUACCACAUCUAAGGAAGGCAGCAGGCGCGCAAAUUACCCAUUCCCGACUCGGGGAGGUAGUGACGAAAAAUAACAAUUCAAGACUCUUAACGAGGCCUUGAAGUUGGAAUGAGUACACUUUAAAACUUUUAACGAGUAACUAUUGGAGGGCAAGUCUGGUGCCAGCAGCCGCGGUAAUUCCAGCUCCAAUAGCGUAUACUAAAGUUGUUGCGGUUAAAAAGCUCGUAGUUGGAUCUUGGAAUGUGUUCAAGCGGGUCAGCUUCUGGCUGUUCGCUGCUUGACGUGUUCUUCUAUUUGGUUUUGGUGCGAAGCGCUUAACUGCGUGUCGCUCCCGGC